rnacentral:rRNA from 1 species
CCUACGGGUGGCAGCAGUGAGGAAUAUUGGUCAAUGGCCGGAAGGCUGAACCAGCCAUGCCGCGUGAAGGUCAGUGCCCUAUGGGCGUUAAACUUCUUUUGUGCGGGGGCAAUAAUGGUCACGUGUGGCCAGACGAGAGUACCGUACGAAUAAGCAUCGGCUAACUACGUGCCAGCAGACGCGGUAAUACGGGGGAUGCAAGCGUUAUCCGGAUUUAUUGGGUUUAAAGGGUGCGUAAGAUGGGAGGUAAGUCAGCGGUGAAAUGUCCCCGGUCAACGGGGUGAAGUGCCAUUGAUACUGGCUUGCUGGAGUGCGGAUGAGGUAGGAGGAAUGUGUGGUGUAGCGGUGAAAUGCAUAGAUAUCACGCAGAACACCGAUUGCGAAGGCAUCUCACGAAUCCGCGAUUGACGCUGAUGCACGAAAGCGUGGGUAUCAAACAGGAUUAGAUACCCCGGUAGUC